CAUUAACUUUCCUUUAAGCCUCUGUAUGCAAUAAUUUGUUAAGCCUUCGUUAUAAUAAUUUUAAAUCGAAAACAGUGCACAGGUGAAAUACAAACCGACACAAACAACUCUCCAAAAAUCAAAAUCCUUUCCUUCUGUCUCUUCAUCUUCUCUUUUUCUCUUCGUCUUCGUGAAUCGUAUCUGCAAUCCCUGAUCUGCUAAACACUGGUUCGCCAAAGCCCACUGAUGCCUGCGAUGCGGAUAAAUGUGCUGGUUUCAUUGUCGAAGGCGAGGCCUUGGUGUCGUCGCUGUCUUUGGGUGGAGCUGCCGUGGAUGCUGAUAAAUCAAAGGCGGUCGGCACUGCACUACGUUUGAAGAAGCUCACGGCGAAUAUUAAGCGGGAUUUGAUCGUGUUUCGAAUUUGAUCGUGUUUUGGGUUUGGAUUUUCGCAGUUUCUACUGGACCUGUGUUUCGUGCAUUUGGGUUUGUUUAGAUGGUUUUGCAUUUUAGGGGUUUUGGGUUUAAUUUCUUUUAUUUUUUUCAAUCAUUUAAAGCUUUAUUUACUUUAUUUUUUCGACAUCUGAAUCUAGGGUUUACUGAUAUUUUGGUUUUCAGGGGCGCCAAUUUUUGCCCCUGUUCGACCGAGUGCAGUGAUUUCAGUUUCUGUCUCUUUCAUUUCGUUCAUUCAGUGGAUUUCGAAGAAGUUAAUUGUUUUGGGAGUGUCUGAACAGUCUAUGGCGAGGCUCUUUCGGAACGCUUCCAUUUUCAGACACUAUCUACAUAUUCCGGAGGUGUGCGCACUUUUAAGAAAUGAAAGUUUGGAGAGAUUGGAAUCUUAAGGUUUGGGACCAUUGAAGAUAAUGGUCCUCGUGCAAAGCAGCCUAUUGCAACUGUUUGACCCAAUGGACGCUUUAGAAGAGUCAUAUUGGGCACUUCUUCUCAGUUUUGCGAAUUUUCUACAAGAGGUGCUGAAAUUAUCUGGCUGUUGACAGAACCAUAGUUUGGGAAUUCUUAAAUUGGUGAUUUAGGUCGUUGUUGAAUUUUAUUUCAGCACCUUUGGCGUGUCAUAAAUUAGUCUUGUUUCUCUAGGCCCAUUGAAUUUAUGAAAGACUCAUCUAGAUCAUAUAAAUUAUUUGUUUUCUAUGUUGAAAGUUUUCUUUUUUGUUGUCCAAAUGUAGACGUGAGGUAGUACGAUCCAUGUGUGGAUGCCAUUUAUUUGUACUAAAGCUUAAUUGAGAGUGUUGUUGAGUAUCAUAAAAAUCAUAUUAAAAAUGAGAAUCACCAGUGUUUAUGAGUGGAAAGUUUGACAAACUGUACUUUAUUUUGUGUUGCCUUUGUUUUCUGAUGCCCUUUCUCUGUCUCUUAAUGAAGAGUCCCAAAUUUACAAGAAAUCCAAAGAAUAGAAAGCAAAUGAAGAUGUUAUAGUGGAGAAGGAAAAAAUCAUUCAACAAUUACUAAUUUCUUUAAAAUUACAAGAAGUAAAGUAUACACGCCUUAUUAUAUUCAAAUACCUCUAAUUUUAAUGAAAUUAGUAGCUACUAUUGUUUAAUGCUUAGAGGCUGCUAGAUGUGCUUAGUUUGUCACUACAUACGAACCCAUUGUUGACUACAGUUUUGGAUAUCAUCAUUCUUAAGCAUUAUGAAGUCACAUGUCCAAUUUUAAUGAAAUUAGCAGCUAAUAUUGUUCUAUACUCAGAGCCUGCUAGAUCUGCUUAGCUUGUUACUACAUAGGUGCACAUUAUUGACUACAGUUUUGGAUAUCAUCAUUCUUAUGCAUAAUGAAGCCACGUUGUAAAUUUAAAGGACUUUCAUACGGCAGGUCUCUAUAAUUUCAGAAAAGAAGGGACUUUAGAUGCGGAGUAGGUUGGUAAGGCUUAUGCAUGUGAUGGUGAAUGCAAAAUAAGGAGAAUGCAACCUUCGAAACCCAGAUAUCUCAAACUCAGAUUUUCAGUCUUCCAUCCCUUCUCAAAAACAUUUAUUUUGAUCCAAUCAACGCUGCUAGGCCAGAGUCCACAUAUUUUAUUCAAUCCAAGGGUCUCGUUGGCACUCCCUCUUGGACUUCAUCAUUCUGCCUUAGUUCUCAUGCUUACAACAUAAUUUCUUCCAGAAAAUGCUAAAUCUAAUCGCAUGGAUUGGUUUCAGAUGCACAAAUACCUGCUUAAAUUCUAGGAAAGCGGCUUAGAGGCUGAAAGUUGGCAUCAGAAGAACCCCACAUAUGGCAUUCCUUGGCAAUCCUGGAUCAGGUAGUUGCUGGCAAGUUUGUUUGUGUCUCAUAAUGAUGUUUAUUUAUUUUCCUUCACCACUGAAAUUCCUGUUUAUAUUGCGAUGCUCAAACUCAGAUGAAAAAAACUGAUGUUUGAGUUUUAUGAUUAUCAUCAGCAACAGUCUUUUUCUA